UACGUAGGGACCGAGCGUUGUCCGGAAUCCUUGGGCGUAAAGAGCGUGUCGGCGGCCAUGUAGGUCCGGUGUGAAAACUCGAGGCUUAACCUCGAGAUGUCAUCGGAAACCAUUUGGCUAGAGUCCGGAAGAGGAGAGUGGAAUUCCUGGUGUAGCGGUGAAAUGCGCAGAUAUCAGGAAGAACACCAAUGGCGAAAGCAGCUCUCUGGGACGGUACUGACGCUGAGACGCGAAAGCGUGGGGAGCGAACAGG
rnacentral:rRNA from 1 species